UACGGAGGGUGCAAGCGUUAUCCGGAUUCACUGGGUUUAAAGGGUGCGUAGGAGGGCAGGUAAGUCAGUUGUGAAAUCUCCGGGCUUAACUCGGAAAGGUCAACUGAUACUGUGCGACUAGAGUGCAGAAGGGGCAACUGGAAUUCUCGGUGUAGCGGUGAAAUGCGUAGAUAUCGAGAGGAACACCUGCGGCGAAGGCGGGUUGCUGGGCUGACACUGACGCUGAUGCGCGAAAGCCAGGGGAGCGAACGGG
rnacentral:rRNA from 1 species